UGCAACAGCCCCUCACAGCCAGGAGCCCCCCCAUGGCCUGGGGCCUCCUCUUCAUCUUGGCACAGAAAUUGUUUGAGGGAUGGCAGCUGUUAUCUUUGACACAGAAAGAUGCAGGACAGCAUUUCAUAUGGAACCAUUUUAAUGUUUUUGCUGUUUUUAGAAUUCAGAGCCCCUGCUCGGGGAUGCCUGGGAGAUCGGGUAAGAAGAGCUUUCAUUUGUCUGGUAGAUAGCACGUAAUGGAGUGGUCGUGCCAGAAGGCAGCUGCUGACGGGUUUGCUACACCCAGCCCUGGACUGUGUUGCCUGGGAGCUCAUUCAGAGAGGGGCUGUCAUCUGGGAGCCUGCGCCCCUGGGUCCUUGAGGGUCAUGGCUUGCCUCAGUCAGUCCUGUCUGACCAAGGCCUCACCUCUCUGCCCUUCCCCACCUGGUUCCUACCCACCUAGCCAGGGCCAGUGCCCAUUUUUCACCCGACCCAUUGAUCAUUUCAAGAAACCUCUGUUCUCCAGCCUGGACAACAGAGCAAGACUCUGUGUCAAAAAAAAAAAGAAAAGAAAAGAAAAGAAAAAAGAAACCUCUGUUUACUGUGUGGCACCUGGGAAAAACAUGCUCCACAAAUUCAACUUGUAUAUUUGGCAGAUUAAACUUGACAUUAUCAAAAAAAAAAAAAUUAGCCCAGCAUGGUGGCAGGUGCCUGUAAUCCCAGCUACUCGGGAGGCUGAGGCAGGAGAAUCGCUUGAACCCGGGUGACAGAGGUUGCAGUGAGCUGAGACUGCGCCACUGCACUCCAGCCUAGGCAACAGAGACUCUGUCUCAAAAAAAAAAUCCUGAAAGUUAAAAUAUCUCCAGAAAUACAACUAAAUUUUCUAAUCGUGGUUCAACCAAAUUGGCCCUCACUCUGCAAAAGAAUAAUAGGUUUCAUCAUCCAAAUUUUGUUUGGAACCGAGGGGAUCAAUUCCGAUUUAAAACACAGUACAAACUGUCAUGUCAGGAUUAGUUAGUUCUACAAGAAAUCACAAAAACCCUGCAACCUAUGGGUGGAGGUUGGCCACCAC
rnacentral:lncRNA from 1 species